rnacentral:rRNA from 1 species
UACGAAGGGUGCAAGCGUUACUCGGAAUUACUGGGCGUAAAGCGUGCGUAGGUGGUUUGUUAAGUCUGUUGUGAAAGCCCCGGGCUCAACCUGGGAAUGGCAAUGGAUACUGGCAAGCUAGAGUGCGGUAGAGGGUAGUGGAAUUCCCGGUGUAGCGGUGAAAUGCGUAGAGAUCGGGAGGAACACCGGUGGCGAAGGCGGUUCUCUGGGCCGAUACUGACGCUGAGGAGCGAAAGCGUGGGGAGCAAACAGG